CAGCAGCCGCGGGAAUACGAAGGUCCCGAGCGUUGUUCGGAAUCACUGGGCGUAGAGGGAGCGUAGGCGGCGUGGUAAGUCAGAUGUGAAAUCCCGGGGCUCAACCCCGGAACUGCAUCCGAUACUGCCAUGCUAGAGGAUUGGAGAGGUAGCUGGAAUUCUUGGUGUAGCAGUGAAAUGCGUGGAGAUCAAGAGGAACACUCGUGGCGAAAGCGAGCUACUGGACAAUAACUGACGCUGAGGCUCGAAGGCCAGGGUAGCGAAAGGGAUUAGAUACCCGCGUAGUCCCUGUCUCUUAUAC
rnacentral:rRNA from 1 species